UAGGAUUCCCUCAGUAGCGGCGAGCGAACAGGGAAAAGCCCAGCACCGAAUCCCGCGACCGUCACCGGGCGCCGGGAAAUGUGGUGUUCGGGAGGGUCCGUUUAUCUCGCGGUCGUGCGGCUCGUCCAAGUCCUUCUUGAACGGGGCCACAGCCCAUAGAGGGUGCCAGGCCCGUAGCGACAGCUGCCGAUAGCGAGAGGAUCUCUCCUUAGAGUCGGGUUGCUUGAGAGUGCAGCCCUAAGUGGGUGGUAAACUCCAUCUAAGGCUAAAUAUGACCACGAGACCGAUAGCGAACAAGUACCGUGAGGGAAAGUUGAAAAGCACUUUGAAGAGAGAGUUCAAGAGUACGUGAAACCGUUCAGGGGUAAACCUGAGAAACCCGAAAGGUCGAGGGGAGAAAUUCAUUCGCGUUUCGACUGCCGGCGGAGGGCGCUGCGCGACGGACGGCGUUCGCGUCGUCCGCGCCUUCUGUCCUCUCCGGACCGGCGUUGAACGCGUGCACUUUUCUCCUAGUAGGACGUCGCGAUCCGUUGGGUGUCGGUCUACGGCCCGCGGUGGAGCCCGUGCGUAUUCGUACGCGCGGACCCGCGGUGUUUUCCCGACCGACCCGCUCGACGGUAUAAGAAUGGCGCGGGGCCGCCACUUCAGUUGGCGUUCGGCCCGCGGCAAGCGCGCCGACUGCGUCGAAGAUCGGACCUGGUGCCGGUCUCGACCUUCGGUGACUGUUGGCCGCGCGGAGUACUCGAACAGACCCCGUUGAAACGCCGAUCUGCGACGCUUUAGCUUUGGGUACUUUCAGGACCCGUCUUGAAACACGGACCAAGGAGUCUAGCAUGUGCGCGAGUCAUUGGGACAUAACUAAACCUAAAGGCGCAAUGAAAGUAAAGGUCCGCCUUCGCGCGGAUCUAGGGAGGAUGGGCGGUUCGCCGUUAAAAGUGGCCGCUCCGCACUCCCGGGGCGUCUCGUUCUCAUCGCGAGAAGAGGCGCACCAAGAGCGUACACGCUGGGACCCGAAAGAUGGUGAACUAUGCCUGGUCAGGACGAAGUCAGGGGAAACCCUGAUGGAGGUCCGUAGCGAUUCUGACGUGCAAAUCGAUCGUCGGAACUGGGUAUAGGGGCGAAAGACUAAUCGAACCAUCUAGUAGCUGGUUCCCUCCGAAGUUUCCCUCAGGAUAGCUGGCGCUCGUUGCGGACGAGUCUCAUCCGGUAAAGCGAAUGAUUAGAGGCAUUGGGGUCGAAACGACCUCAACCUAUUCUCAAACUUUAAAUGGGUGAGAUCCCCGGCUUGCUUGAACUCAUGAAGCCGGGGACACGGAUCAGAGUGCCAAGUGGGCCAUUUUUG
rnacentral:rRNA from 1 species